CCUACGGGAGGCAGCAGUGGGGAAUAUUGGACAAUGGGGGCAUCCCUGAUCCAGCCAUGCCGCGUGUGUGAAGAAGGCCCUCGGGUUGUAAAGCACUUUCAGUGAGGAAGAACGCCUGGUGGUUAAUACCCAUCAGGAAAGACAUCACUCACAGAAGAAGCACCGGCUAACUCCGUGCCAGCAGCCGCGGUAAUACGGAGGGUGCGAGCGUUAAUCGGAAUUACUGGGCGUAAAGCGCGCGUAGGUGGCUUGAUAAGCCGGUUGUGAAAGCCCCGGGCUCAACCUGGGAACGGCAUCCGGAACUGUCAAGCUAGAGUGCAGGAGAGGAAGGUAGAAUUCCCGGUGUAGCGGUGAAAUGCGUAGAGAUCGGGAGGAAUACCAGUGGCGAAGGCGGCCUUCUGGACUGACACUGACACUGAGGUGCGAAAGCGUGGGUAGCAAACAGGAUUAGAUACCCUUGUAGUC
rnacentral:rRNA from 1 species